AGUCGACGAUGACCACUUCGGUGGGGAUUAGUGGCGAACGGGUGAGUAAACGUGGGCAAUCUGCCCUUCACUCUGGGACAAGCCCUGGAAACGGGGUCUAAUACCGGAUACCACUACCGCAGGCAUCUGUGGUGGUUGAAAGCUCCGGCGGUGAAGGAUGAGCCCGCGGCCUAUCAGCUUGUUGGUGAGGUAAUGGCUCACCAAGGCGACGACGGGUAGCCGGCCUGAGAGGGCGACCGGCCACACUGGGACUGAGACACGGCCCAGACUCCUACGGGAGGCAGCAGUGGGGAAUAUUGCACAAUGGGCGAAAGCCUGAUGCAGCGACGCCGCGUGAGGGAUGACGGCCUUCGGGUUGUAAACCUCUUUCAGCAGGGAAGAAGCGAAAGUGACGGUACCUGCAGAAGAAGCGCCGGCUAACUACGUGCCAGCAGCCGCGGUAAUACGUAGGGCGCAAGCGUUGUCCGGAAUUAUUGGGCGUAAAGAGCUCGUAGGCGGCUUGUCACGUCGGGUGU
rnacentral:rRNA from 1 species